rfam:Gossypium arboreum cultivar AKA8401 contig_41611_1, whole genome shotgun sequence.
UACGAAAAACACCAUCGGAUUUCAAAGUAGCACGAUCUAAUUCAAAAAUUUCACCCAAUUGAGAACGUCUAGCAUAUUUUUUCACAGUAGCAGGAUCACUAUAACUCACUCCAUUGAGUUCGCCGCCAUAGAACUCAAUGGAGUGAGUUAUAGUGAUCCUGCUACUGUGAAAAAAUAUGCUAGACGUGCUCAAUUGGGUGAAAUUUUUGAAUUAGAUCGUGCUACUUUGAAAUCCGAUGGUGUUUUUCGUA